rnacentral:rRNA from 1 species
GCUGGCGGCGUGCCUAAUACAUGCAAGUCGAACGCUUGUUUUUCCACCGGGGCUUGCUCCACCGGAAAAAGAGGAGGUCAAACGGGUGAGGUCACGUGGGUAACCUGCGCAUCAGAAGGGGAUAACACUUGGCUACAGGUGCAAAUACCGUAUAACAAUCGGAACCGCAAGGUUUUGGUUUGAACGGCGGUUUCUGGUGUCGCUGAUGGAUGGACCCUCGGUGCAUUAUCUAGUUGGUGAGGUAACGGCUCACCAAGGCUACGAUACAUGACCGACCUGAGAGGGUGAUCGGCCACGUUGGGACUGAGACACGGCCCAAACUCCUACGGGAGGCAAAUCUUCGGAAUCUUCGGCAAUGGACGAAAGUCUGACCGAGCAACGCCACGUGACUGAAGAAGGUUUUCGGAUCUGUUGUCUCUGUUGUUAGAGAAGAACAAGGAUGAGAGUAACUGUUCAUCCCUUGACGGUAUCUAACCACAAAGCCACGGCUAACUACAUGCCAGCUACCGCGGUAAUACGUAGGUGGCAAGCGUUGUCCGGAUUUAUUGGGCGUAAAGCGUGCGCACGCGGUUCCUUAAGUCUGAUGUGAAAGCCCCCGGCUCAACCGGGGAGGGUCAUUGGAAACUGGAAGACUUGAGUGCAAAAGAGGAUACUGGAAUUCCAUGUGUAUGCGUGAAAUGCGUAGAUAUAUGGAGGAGCACCAGUGGACGAAUGCGGUCUCUCUGGUGCUGUAACUGACGCUGAGCUCGAGAGCGUGCGGAGAUAACAUGCAUUAGAUACUCCUGCGUCCGUCCACGCCGUAAAGCGAUGAGUGCUAAGUGUUGCAGCGCUUUCGUGCUUUCAGUGAUGCAGCUAACGCAUUAAGCUGUGCAGCCUGGGGCAGUACGACUGACACG